GUUUUGGUUGGCAGGUUUCAGAAGGUUUGCUGUACGGAAAUCAUAAUUGAUUGCGAAGUUUAGGCAUAAAACAUCACAAUUUCGGAGGUGCUGCUGCUGCUGCUGGUGUGGAUGGGUGGCCUACGCUGGGUGGAGAAAUCAUUUUCUUGUUGCCGUCGGACCCUUUGCUGCUGUGCGAAAGUUCCAAUCAUGAUGUUUGCCGGUAAAAUCCUCCGAUUUCCGCAGAUAUUGCUGGUGACUGCAGAUGAGUACCCUUCGCUGGGUGGUGUAUUUUGUUUCUCGCUGCUGUUGGUUGACUCCGUCGCAGGCUGGCGAACAGCAACGAAAACCAUAGGCCGUGUCGAUUUCUCGUUUCGGGCGAAAUUUAAUGCUGAUCUAUUGGUGAGUACGAUGCAUGGCUGUUACCGGAAACCAAUGAAGCUCGAUGAUUUUUUAAGCGUUGGUUGGAGCAUACGGUGGGUGCUUAUUUAAACGAUUUUCACAAUCUGUCGAUAUCCGACCAGAGGCUGACUCUUCGUGAUGAUGUGCGAUGUGAAGACCUGUCGACUUUCGACCGGAGGUUGACACAGGACUUGUGUUAAACCGAUGAAAAAACACAUCAACCUGUCGAAAUUCGACCAGAUACGUGAUACGUGUGCUUGACGACAUUCGUGGACCAACAUAUGCUCGUAAUGAUGACCAACGCUAACCCGUCGACCUUCGACCAGGGGUUAUCUCGACUGUGUACCACAGUAUCAACCUGUCGACC